UCAAAAACUGCAUUCCGGAUAAAUUUUAACUCCAUGUUGAGUCAUAGAUUUGAGUCAUCACAAAACAGAAAAUUCCUACGCUUUUUAGUUAGGUACAUUAGGUUAACGUUAGACAUAGUUAAGAAACGAACACGUUUGAGAUCAAGAGCCGUAACUUUUACCUCUAUCUGUGCAAUUACUUUUAUAUUUUUUUGAAAUUGUGUGAUCGUUUUUUGUAAAUCAAAACGGCGCAAUACGGGGAGGAAGCCAUGACUGCUUGGACAAUGUUCAGCUGGAGAAGAUUAUACAACGGAAGAGGCAUAGAGUGCGUAGAGGAAUCGCGUGUGGAACUCCCGGCUGACACGAGACAGCUUGUUUACAACGUCUUUGUUUACUUCAACAGGCGGCCAGGAAGAAGCACUAAAGCCUCUAUUACAAAAACAGCAAGAGCCACGAUGCUUCCAAGAGAUAUAGUUGCGGAUAUAAUAAGAGAUAAAUGCCGAGACUGAACUAUCUUAACACGCUUUUCGCCGCUUAUGUUAUACAUAGAUAUCAUCAAAUUAUGAUACCUAAGUGCUUCGCAAUUUUCUUAUUAUUAAACGGUUAGUGGUUCAAAAGUUGGAUCUCGUUGCUUCCUCAAAGAGGGCAUUUGUUAUGUAAGUUUAACUUUUUAGUUAUAAGUUAUUUCGAAACGGAUGAAUGUAUUGUAAUGUUACAUAAGUGUUAUAUUAAACGUAAUCAUCAGAAUAUUAA
rnacentral:lncRNA from 1 species